ACAGCAGCAGCCGCGGUAAUACGAAGGGUGCAAGCGUUACUCGGAAUUACUGGGCGUAAAGCGUGCGUAGGUGGUGGUUUAAGUCCGUUGUGAAAGCCCUGGGCUCAACCUGGGAAUUGCAGUGGAUACUGGGUCACUAGAGUGUGGUAGAGGAUAGUGGAAUUUCCGGUGUAGCAGUGAAAUGCGUAGAGAUCGGAAGGAACAUCUGUGGCGAAGGCGACUAUCUGGGCCAACACUGACACUGAGGCACGAAAGCGUGGGGAGCAAACAGGAUUAGAUACCCAGUAGUCCCUGUCUCUUAUACA
rnacentral:rRNA from 1 species